rnacentral:rRNA from 1 species
AGCAGCCGCGGUAAUUCCAGCUCCAAUAGCGUAUAUUAAAGUUGUUGCAGUUAAAAGCUCGUAGUUGAAUUUCGGGGUUUAUCCGUUGGUCGGGCUUUUUGGUCUGUACUGGCGUGAUGGAUUCCUACCUUCUGAAUAACCGGCAUGCCAUUAAUUUGGUGCGCCGGGGAAGCAGGACUGUUACCUUGAAAAAAUUAGAGUGCUUAAAGCAGGCUCACGCUUGAAUACAUUAGCAUGGAAUAAUGAAAUAGGACGUUCGAUCCUAUUUUGUUGGUUUCUAGGAUCAACGUAAUGAUUAAUAGGGAUAGUUGGGGGCAUUAGUAUUCAAUUGUCAGAGGUGAAAUUCUUGGAUUUAUUGAAGACUAACUACUGCGAAAGCAUUUGCCAAGGAUGUUUUCAUUAAUCAAGAACGAAAGUUAGGGGAUCGAAGACGAUCAGAUACCGUCGUAGUCUUAACCAUAAACUAUGCCGACUAGGGAUCGGAUGAUGUUAAUUUUUUAAUGACUCAUUCGGCGCCUUA